GACGAACGCUGGCGGCGUGCCUAAUACAUGCAAGUCGAGCGGACCAAUAGAAGCUUGCUUCUGUUGGUUAGCGGCGGACGGGUGAGUAACACGUGGGCAACCUGCCUGUAAGACUGGGAUAACUUCGGGAAACCGGAGCUAAUACCGGAUAAUUCAUCCCCUCGCAUGAGGGAGUGUUGAAAGUCGGUUCACGCUGACACUUACAGAUGGGCCCGCGGCGCAUUCGCUAGUUGGUGGGGUAAUGGCGCACCAAGGCGACGAUGCGUAGCCGACCGGAGCGGGUGAUCGGCCACAAUGGGACGGAGACACGGCCCAGACUCCUACGGGAGGCAGCGGUAGGGAAUCUUCCACAAUGGACGAAAGUCUGAUGGGGCAACGCCGCGUGAGCGAUGAAGGCCUUCGGGUCGUAAAGCUCUGUUGUUAGGGAAGAACAAGUAUCGGAGUAACUGCCGGUACCUUGACGGUACCUAACCAGAAAGCCACGGCUAACUACGUGCCAGCCGCCGCAGUAAUAC
rnacentral:rRNA from 1 species